CUACGGGUUGCAGCAGUGAGGAAUAUUGCACAAUGGAGGGAACUCUGAUGCAGCAACGCCGCGUGGAGGAUGACGCAUUUCGGUGUGUAAACUCCUUUUAUAUGUCAAGAAAAUGACGGUAGCAUAUGAAUAAGCACCGGCUAACUCCGUGCCAGCAGCCGCGGUAAUACGGAGGGUGCAAGCGUUACUCGGAAUCACUGGGCGUAAAGGACGCGUAGGCGGGUUGGAAAGUCAGGUGUGAAAUCCUACAGCUUAACUGUAGAACUGCACUUGAAACUUCUAAUCUAGAGUAUGGGAGGGGGAGAUGGAAUUAGUGGUGUAGGGGUAAAAUCCGUAGAUAUCACUAGGAAUACCUAAAGCGAAGGCGAUCUCCUGGAACAUUACUGACGCUAAGGCGUGAAAGCGUGGGGAGCAAACAGGAUUAGAUACCGCGUAGUC
rnacentral:rRNA from 1 species